UUCCACAUUUCCACUUUCAGAGGGAGAUAACAGAGGAGAGGAGGAUUUUCAUAUUUUUCCGUUCUUUCUUUUCUUUCACUCAAAAUUUCUUUCUCUCUUUUUGCAUUCAAGAACCAAGACACUAAUGUCUACUUUGCCUCUUCCAUUCUUCAGCGGCACUUCCACCAGGGCUCCAUUUUCGUUCACACGCAAAUCUUCUCCUCCUUCUGCUGCUUUUUCUUCGUCUUCUUCUUCUUUGGUUCCGUUUCAGCGAGUCGAGCUCUUACGAUCUACUUCCAGAAGAACGACGAGGAGUUUCUCUUGCGUGUUUUACUCCUUGAAAGCUAAGGCAAUGGCUGAGCUCGUUCAAGAUAAGGAAUCGGGCGUGGCCGCCACUGGUAGUAGUGGAGGCGGGAGGCCGGAGGUUGAGCACUCCCGUACUUUCCUCGAAGCUCGCUCCGAGCAAGAACUUCUAUCUGGAAUUAGGAAGGAAGUAGAAGCAGGAAGGCUACCUCCAAACGUUGCAGCAGGAAUGGAAGAAUUAUAUCAGAAUUAUAGAAAUGCAGUUUUCCAAAGUGGAGAUCCCUCAGCUGUUGAGAUUGUGCUGUCAAACAUGGCUGUUGCAUUUGACCGUAUGCUGUUGGAUGUGGAGGAUCCUUUUGUCUUUGAACCCUACCACAAAGCUUUGCGAGAGCCAUUUGACUACUACAUGUUUGGCCAAAAUUAUAUUCGGCCAUUGAUGGAUUUCAGAAAUUCAUACGUUGGCAAUCUCUCUCUUUUCUAUGAAAUAGAAGAGAAGCUUAAGCAGGGUCACAAUGUUGUACUUAUAUCAAACCACCAGACUGAAGCUGACCCAGCCAUCAUCUCAUUGUUGCUUGAGAAAACAAAUCCACAUGUUGCUGAGAACAUGAUCUAUGUUGCAGGUGACAGAGUCAUAACAGAUCCUCUUUGCAAGCCUUUCAGCAUGGGAAGGAAUCUUAUAUGUGUGUACUCCAAAAAGCACAUGUAUGAUGUUCCUGAGCUUGUUGAGAUGAAAAGAAAAGCAAACACCCAAAGCUUGAAACAGAUGGCUUUGUUGCUGAGGGGUGGAUCAAAAAUACUAUGGAUUGCACCAAGUGGUGGUAGGGAUCGCCCAGAUCCCCUUACAGAAGAAUGGUAUCCCGCACCCUUUGAUUCUUCUUCAGUGGACAAUAUGAGAAGGCUCAUAGAACAUUCAGGUGCUCCGGGGCAUAUAUAUCCCUUGGCUCUAUUGUGCCAUAGCAUCAUGCCCCCUCCACCCCAGGUAGAAACACAAAUUGGAGAAAGAAGAAUCAUCUCCUUUCAUGGGGCUGGAUUAUCAGUAGCACCAAAAAUCUGCUUCCAAGAAAUUGCUGCUGCUUGUGAAAAGUCUGAAGAGGCUAAGGAUGUAUACUCACAAGCUUUGUAUAAGUCUGUGACCAAGCAAUACAAUGUCCUCAAAUCUGCAGUACAUGUCAAACAAGGGUUAGAGGCAUCAACUGCAGGUGUCUCUUUGUCACAGCCAUGGAACUAGUCAUAACCUUUCCAUGAUUUCAAAAGCUGCUAGUUGGCCUAGUCUUUUCCUUGCAAAAUUUUUGACUCCUUAACAAGAAGCCAUCGGAUUCAUAGAUAGAAGAAUGCCCUGCAAGAGAAACCCUAUUUAUUGAUACAUAUUGAUGACACCAACAGUGGAUUACAAUCAUCUUCUCUUUUUCUGUUUAUGCCUUUAAUGGGAGCCGAAUCCAUCAGAAACUGAAGCUAUCCCAAAGAUUCUGCUUCAGGAACAGUGUUCCAGAAGUAAAUCAAAAGAAAGACUCGGGCCAAGUAGUCCAUGCCUUAUUUCCGUAACUGUUGCGUAUUUCAGUGAACUGUUUAGUUCCAUUGCUGUUUAUACCAUAGCUGUAUGUCUGCUCUUCUGUUGAUUUUGCAUUCAACAUUGUCUUUUAUAUGUCUACAUUUCACGGAGACAGAUAGGCUACUCCAACCUUCAGGUUAGGAUGCAGAUGUGCAGUUUUCCACUUGUUUCGUCGGGAGCUUACAUUUUGGAUAGCAUGAACGAGAGUUACUGGUACUUGAACCAAAAACUUUUUAAUAUUAAAUGGAUCGAAUAAAAUGAUUGAAGGCAAAUUUUAUCAAUUUGCAAAUUCUUCCUCAAUUAAAAGAAUGAUAUUGGCUGAUAUUAUGACGAUACUAGAUAGCUUAGAUAUCAUUACGCGAGAACUUGUUUGGUUAGAAAGUAAAAUAUCUGUACGAAUACAACAAUGUAUCCGUCCUUCUACCAGGAAUAGAGAAAGAUCCGAACGGUUCUCUUAGGAAACCUCACAUACAAACCUAGAUUCAUCAACAUUGCGUUCCUCUUCGACAGAUCUAGGGAGGUUUAAUGUUUGAUAGGUUAGUUAAGUACAAAGAGAACUGACGUGUAAUGUACUUUUGCAUCUGUCUCGUGUUUCUUUUUUAUGUUUAUUGUUUGUUGUGCAAAGGGGGAAGAUGAAGAUCUCAAACACUUUCCCCGCUGCAUCUUUUCCCAUUUGUUUAACUGACUAAAAAUACAAAGCACGAGAAUGCUUUCCUCUGUCA